UGGAGUGUAUGCUGUACUCUACAUGCAGACCUCCAUACCAAGUGCUUCGUUGCUUUGACAAUUACUCUCAGGAACAGGGGCUCUCUUUUUUAGGUCAUUCUGUGGAAAGCCAUCUUCAGAAAGGCCAGCUUACCACUGGAAUUUGUAUUGGAUUUCUUCAGAGAGACAAUAUAGCAGCAGUUUCAAUGAAUGUGCUUCUAACCAUAGCAAAAAUAUUACUCUUGUGAAAUGAACAGAACUCAGUCAUUUGUAGUUUGAAACUUAAUUUGGGUGUUGGAGUGGAUAGUUCUUACUUGGUUAGGAUUCUCUCCCUUUUCUCUUCUGAUAAUUUUCUAGUGGGAGCAGUGGUGAGAGAGAGGCUUAGAAAGUUAUCUUCCUAGCACUGUCUCUGUGCCUUCUUCUCUGAGGGCUCUGCGACAGUAGAACCUUCUGAUCUCCUAGCACAAAUAACCACACUCACUGAGUUUGAGGGUUUUUCCGCUCUUAACUAGACCACACCCGCAACUCACCUUGUUGAGAACUAGCUGCCUCUUCCUGUAUUGACUUGUGCUGUCCACGCCAGCCCUCAUCAACACGGAUCCAUUUUGGAUCUUCUGUAGGGCCUGAGAGAUGUGCGUGCAAGUGCAUAUGUGGAUGUGAGGGGCCAGUAUGAUUGCUUAUCAGGGCGGAAAAAGCCUUUUAUGUGGUAGUUUCUCCUCUUCUAAAGGCCAAUCUAUGCUGCUUCAGGGAACUAUGAGUUGUACUCUCCCAGGGGUUCAGAUAGAACCAAAUCAUUCUGCUCUUGACUCUCAAUAUCUAUCCACCAAUUUACAUCAGCCAAUUCCCCUCCUCCCUCUUACCCUCUGUCACUAUUGAUUCUCCUAGGUACCACCAGGAGCUCCUCUUUGAAUCUCUCUCCCAUUUUCAAUCCUCUCUUCCCUUUUUCAAUGCUGGAGAGCCAAUGCAUGGCCUCAUACAUGCCAGACGAAUAUCUACCACUAAGCAAUGAAGCCCACCAGAGAAAGCUACUGGGCAACAAGAUAAAAAGAAAAUCCUUGGAUUAAAAUUCACUAAAUCAUAUAGCAAUUAACUAUAAGGAAGAAAUAGUAAAACUACAAGCAACAUUACAAGGU